GAAAAAUUUAAGUGAUGAGUAGGAACUGAUAUUAAGGGGCAAAGUAAGUGUUUUUGGUUUUGGUUUUGGCUGUUUUUGGCCAGGGGCUGGCUUUGUUUUACCUUACUCUGUGUUUGUUGUUUUUCUGUCUCUGCUCCAAGCAGGAUACCAGGUCUCUCAUUCACUGAGGAUUUUCUCCCAUUCCUUAAUUUGUAGCUGCUUUUCCUUAUAUCCAUGGCGCAUUUCCCCGUCAUGGACAGUAAUGUUGUUGAACUAACUGGAAGAUGAUGAAAAGAGCAGCACAAGAUGAAACACUCCUUCCCAGUGUAUAAUGUCAUCAUCAUUCUUUGUCAUAAGCUAACUGAACAGUAGAGAGUCCAGGUUGAAAGAAAAUGUUUGGUUUUAUACUUAUUUCUUUUGUUUAAACUUAGAGAAAUUAUAGGGAGCACUCUUUAAAAAUGUUGAAGUAUUUUAUUUGCGUGGAAUAUAUUUGCCAUGAAAAAGUACCACAAAAUAUAUAUAGUGGCUUAAUAGCAAAUGGUAGUUAGAGUUCAUAUUAUUUUGGAAGUCAUUGCCUUAUUAAGCUAUUUUCAAUAUUCUUUGUGGCCAAAUACAUUUUUAUUACUUGGCUAGUUCUUCCUCAUGUGGUCAUUAGAAACCUGUCUAGUGAAAUGCCAAUCACUGGAAAUUGUAAUUGGUGGAAUCUGUCAGGUGUAGGGUAAUUGAGACCUAUAGAAUUUGUUCCUCUUCCUCCAUUAAUAGGAAUGAAGAAAGUAAGUAGGCUUACUUGUUUUGAUAUGGAUUAGGAGAAAAGGAUCAAAGAAAUGCUUCUCUGUGGCAGAAAUGAGUAAAUUUUGUUGGUGUGAUUUUUUUCCUGCAUCUUAGAGGGAAUCAAGGAAACCUUGUGGAUAUGAGACCCUUGUUAUUGCAUUGGUUGGGGGAUUUGGGGUUUGUGGGUGAUAGUGAAGGGUUAUAGAAAGAGAGUAAAAUCUUUUUUAUCACGUAAUUUGAAAUCAGGAAAUUAUCACAGAAAUUUGCACUGCUUAUAGUAGAUAUAUGGAGAGCAUUGGUUUGCAGAGUAAUGUAAGCUUAAGCUCUUUGUUAGUUGGUUUCUUUUUUAAAAAUCUUUGUUGAUUUUUUCGCAGAUAUUUCGCAGAUUUCCAGUGGCCCCACUGAUCCCUUACCCACUCAUCACUAAGGAGGAUAUAAAUGCUAUAGAAAUGGAAGAGGACAAAA